rnacentral:rRNA from 1 species
AGGAGCCAGCGGCCGAAGGUGGGAUUAGUGAUUGGGGUGAAGUCGUAACAAGGUAGCCGUAGGAGAACCUGCGGCUGGAUCACCUCCUUUCUAAGGAGA